rnacentral:lncRNA from 1 species
GCAACCCUCUGCCAUCCUCUUCUUCAAUGUGGAAGGUUUGUUCUUUUGUUCUUUGUGAUAAAUCUUGCUGUUGCUCACUCUUUGGGUCCACACUGAGUUUAUGAGCUGUAACACUUAUGAGCCAGCGAGACCACGAACCCACCAGAAGGAAGAAACUGCGAACACAUUGGAACAUCAGAAGGAACAAACUCUGGACAUCCUGCUUUUAGGAACUGUAACACUCACUGCGAGAGUCUGCGGCUUCAUUCUUUUAGUCAGUGAGACCAAGAACCCACCAAUUCCGGACAGGGCAUCUACCUAGAAGUCAGCAGCUCAGUGGAGUCUUUCCUGGUAACCCGACCUAAAAUCCCCAAACUGCCAAGAAUUGGUGUACAAAUAUCACGGACAGUGGGAAAAACAAUGAAUGCUGCCUGCUUAAGUCACAAGGCCCAGAAUGAACCUUUAUUAAGUCCAAGGGUCAGCAUUUGCUCCUAUGUUGGUCCCAUUGCAGAAUGAAGGUGAAGAAAGAGGAGAUUAGGCCUCUUGAAAAGAGAAAAUCCC